rnacentral:rRNA from 1 species
GAAACCAACAGGGAUUGCCCCAGUAACGGCGAGUGAAGCGGCAAAAGCUCAAAUUUGAAAUCUGGCCUCCUACGGGGGUCCGAGUUGUAAUUUGUAGAGGAUGCUUCGGGUGUGGCCGCCGUCUAAGUUCCUUGGAACAGGACGUCAGAGAGGGUGAGAAUCCCGUCUUGGGCGGCCGGUCCGCGCCCGUGUGAAGCUCCUUCGAAGAGUCGAGUUGUUUGGGAAUGCAGCUCUAAGCGGGUGGUAAAUUUCAUCUAAAGCUAAAUACUGGUCGGAGACCGAUAGCGCACAAGUAGAGUGAUCGAAAGGUUAAAAGCACCUUGAAAAGGGAGUUAAACAGCACGUGAAAUUGUUGAAAGGGAAGCGCUUGCGGCCAGACUCGGGGGCGGGGUUCAGCGGGUGCUCGUCGCCCGUGCACUCCCCGUCUCCCGGGCCAGCAUCAGUUUCGACGGCCGGUCAAAGGCCUCCGGAAUGUGUCGUCUCUCGGGACGUCUUAUAGCCGGGGGUGCAAUGCGGCCCGUCGGGACUGAGGAACGCGCUUCGGCUCGGAUGCUGGCGUAAUGGCCGUAAGCGGCCCGUCUUGAAACACGGACCAAGGAGUCUAACAUCCACGCGAGUGUUCGGGUGUCAAACCCGUGCGCGCAGUGAAAGCGAACGGAGGUGGGAGCCUUAGGGCGCACCAUCGACCGAUCCUGAAGUCUUCGGAUGGAUUUGAGUAGGAGCGUGGCCGUUGGGACCCGAAAGAUGGUGAACUAUGCCUGAAUAGGGUGAAGCCAGAGGAAACUCUGGUGGAGGCUCGCAGCGGUUCUGACGUGCAAAUCGAUCGUCAAAUUUGGGCAUAGGGGCGAAAGACUAAUCGAACCAUCUAGUAGCUGGUUCCUGCCGAAGUUUCCCUCAGGAUAGCAGUGACGAUAUUCCAGUUUUAUGAGGUAAAGCGAAUGAUUA